GACUUGAGUGCAGGAGAGGAAAGGGAAUUCCCAGUGUAGCGGUGAAAUGCGUAGAUAUUGGGAGGAACACCAGUGGCGAAGGCGCCUUUCUGGACUGUGUCUGACGCUGAGAUGCGAAAGCCAGGGUAGCGAACGGGAUUAGAUACCCCGGUAGUCCUGGCCGUAAACGAUGGGUACUAGGUGUAGGAGGUAUCGACCCCUUCUGUGCCGGAGUUAACGCAAUAAGUACCCCGCCUGGGGAGUACGGCCGCAAGGCUGAAACUCAAAGGAAUUGACGGGGGCCCGCACAAGCGGUGGAGUAUGUGGUUUAAUUCGACGCAACGCGAAGAACCUUACCAAGGCUUGACAUCCGAUGCUAUUUCUAGAGAUAGAAAGUUACUUCGGUACAUCGGUGACAGAGUCGUGGGAG
rnacentral:rRNA from 1 species